rnacentral:lncRNA from 1 species
CUUGCUUCUUGUUGAGCUUCCUUGCAAUCCAUGCUUUGAAUUCUUUAUUUGUUAUUUCUGAGUUUCCAUUUUAGUUAGGAAUUAUUGCUGGAGAGCUAGUGUGAUCCUUUGGUGGUAUCACUACUUUCAGAUUUUUCAUGGUGCCAGAAUUGGUAUGCUGGUUCUUUCUCAUCAGGAGAAGCUGGCACUUCUAAUUUUUGUUAAUUAUUUUCAUGUGGGUAGAUUUUUUUUUCCUUUUUCUUUCUUUCACUAUAAUAUUAUUGCUAUUUUCUUUCAUUUUUCCUCUUCGCCUUCCCUAGAGAAUGUGAUUGUAGAGAAUGCUGGGUAGGUAUUUUGGCUUUGCUUCUAUAGCCUUAUGGACUCAUGUCAGCAGGUUUUAUAUUGGGCUGUGCAGUUCAACAUAAAAGCCAGUAGAUGGCACUUAUAGGUAAGAGCUGGUUGCAGUCAACACUGCUGGGUAUAUACUUGAUCUUUGUUUACUGGGAGAAGCUUUCUGUUGCUUCAGGCAAAGAGCUGAUUCAAGGAGUGCACAGUGGUAUGAGCUCACUGGUCAGCCCCUGGCUGGUGGGGACCAAUAUGGACAGGGCUGGACCCAACCUGGGAGAAUGUCUGCAGCUUUUCCCAAUGUUUUUCCAUCACAACAUUUCCAAGCCUCUCCCCAAAUUCGCUUCAGGCCAUAGGAGAAACAAAGUGCUCUCCCUCAGUCCGGGUUGCUUGGAUGCCCGGUGGAAAGCUGAGGAAGUGGAAUGAGGGAGGCUCUCUGCCCCUCUCACAUACUGGGGCUACACUCCCUUUUAUUAAGCAGAUGCCAUCACAAGACUGUUCGCCCACAUUCUCCACCCUGGAUUCUGGAGUGACCUUCGUGAUUCCUGUGGAUUCCCAAUUUCCUUCUGGAAUUAAAGCUCACAGAACUGAUCUUUAUGCACGUUCUUGCUAUUUCCAACUGGCUGAGGCAUGCUAAAUGCCUCUAAUUCACCAUCUUGGAAAAAAGAUCACUUUUUUCCUAAUGUAGGAAUUUAAAGCUAUAUAUUUUUCCCUUAGCAUUGCUAAGUGCCAUUUCACAAAUUUUGAUAUGUUGUAUUCUCAUUAUCAUUUGGUUAAAAAUGUGUCUAAUUUCAUUUUUCUAAUAUUAUAAUUUCCUUUUUAGUCUAUGAAUUAUUUAGAAGAAUUUUAUGCUCAAUAUUGUGGAUUUUGAAAUAUUUUAUUAUUGAUUUCUAAUUUAAAUCUAUC